rnacentral:rRNA from 1 species
UACCAGUAAGUACUAUCCGGGAGACACACGGCGGGUGCUAACGUCCGUCGUGGAGAGGGAAACAACCCAGACCGCCAGCUAAGGUCCCAAAUUACUACUAAGUGGGAAACGAUGUGGGAAGGCUCAGACAGCCAGGAUGUUGGCUUAGAAGCAGCCAUCAUUUAAAGAAAGCGUAAUAGCUCACUGGUCGAGUCGGCCUGCGCGGAAGAUGUAACGGGGCUAAGUAGUAAACCGAAGCUGCGGCAAUGCACUUUAGUGCAUUGGGUAGGGAGCGUUCUGUAAGCGGUUGAAGGUGUGUGGUAACGCAUGCUGGACGUAUCAGAAGUGCGAAUGCUGACAUGAGUAACGAUAAAGGGGGUGAAAAACCUCCUCGCCGGAAGACCAAGGGUUCCUGUCCAACGUUAAUCGGGGCAGGGUAAGUCGACCCCUAAGGCGAGGCCGAAAGGCGUAGUCGAUGGGAAACGGGUUAAUAUUCCCGUACUUCUUACAAUUGCGAUGGGGGGACGGAGAAGGCUAGGUGGGCCUGGCGACGGUUGUCCAGGUUCAAGUGCGUAGGCUGAGAAAUUAGGUAAAUCCGGUUUCUCUUAAGGCUGAGACACGACGUCGAGCUACUACGGUAGUGAAGUCAUUGAUGCCAUGCUUCCAGGAAAAGCCUCUAAGCUUCAGAUUGUAAGGAAUCGUACCCCAAACCGACACAGGUGGUCGGGUAGAGAAUACCAAGGCGCUUGAGAGAACUCGGGUGAAGGAACUAGGCAAAAUGGUACCGUAACUUCGGGAGAAGGUACGCUCUCGACGGUGAAGUCCCUCGCGGAUGGAGCUAUUGAGAGUCGCAGAUACCAGGUGGCUGCAACUGUUUAUUAAAAACACAGCACUGUGCAAAAUCGUAAGAUGACGUAUACGGUGUGACGCCUGCCCGGUGCCGGAAGGUUAAUUGAUGGGGUUAGACUUCGGUCGAAGCUCUUGAUCGAAGCCCCGGUAAACGGCGGCCGUAACUAUAACGGUCCUAAGGUAGCGAAAUUCCUUGUCGGGUAAGUUCCGACCUGCACGAAUGGCGUAAUGAUGGCCACGCUGUCUCCACCCGAGACUCAGUGAAAUUGAAAUCGCUGUGAAGAUGCAGUGUACCCGCGGCUAGACGGAAAGACCCCGUGAACCUUUACUACAGCUUGGCACUGAACAUUGACCCUACAUGUGUAGGAUAGGUGGGAGGCUUUGAAACUAGUACGCCAGUAUUAGUGGAGCCGUCCUUGAAAUACCACCCUUGUAGUGUUGAUGUUCUAACGUUGACCCCUUAUCGGGGUUGCGGACAGUGCCUGGUGGGUAGUUUGACUGGGGCGGUCUCCUCCCAAAGCGUAACGGAGGAGCACGAAGGUGGGCUAAUCACGGUUGGACAUCGUGAGGUUAGUGCAAUGGCAUAAGCCCGCUUGACUGCGAGAAUGACAAUUCGAGCAGGUGCGAAAGCAGGUCAUAGUGAUCCGGUGGUUCUGAAUGGAAGGGCCAUCGCUCAACGGAUAAAAGGUACUCCGGGGAUAACAGGCUGAUACCGCCCAAGAGUUCAUAUCGACGGCGGUGUUUGGCACCUCGAUGUCGGCUCAUCACAUCCUGGGGCUGAAGUCGGUCCCAAGGGUAUGGCUGUUCGCCAUUUAAAGUGGUACGCGAGCUGGGUUUAGAACGUCGUGAGACAGUUCGGUCCCUAUCUGCCGUGGGCGUUGGAAGAUUGAAGGGGGCUGCUCCUAGUACGAGAGGACCGGAGUGGACGAACCUCUGGUGUUCGGGUUGUGUCGCCAGACGCAUUGCCCGGUAGCUAAGUUCGGAAUCGAUAACCGCUGAAAGCAUCUAAGCGGGAAGCGAGCCCUGAGAUGAGUCUUCCCUGAUACUUUAAGUAUCCUAAAGGGUUGUUCGAGACUAGAACGUUGAUAGGCAGGGUGUGUAAGCGUUGUGAGGCGUUGAGCUAACCUGUACUAAUUGCCCGUGAGGCUUAACCAUACAACACCCAAGGGGUUUGUUGUAUGGUUAAGUGACUAAGCGUACACGGUGGAUGCCUUGGCAGUCAGAGGCGAUGAAGGACGUAUUAACUUGCGAUAAGCCCAGAUUAGGUAGUAAAAACCAUUUGAGUCUGGGAUUUCCGAAUGGGGAAACCCACUAGCAUAAGCUAGUAUCGCUGCGUGAAUACAUAGCGCAGCGAGGCGAACCGGGGGAACUGAAACAUCUAAGUACCCCGAGGAAAAGAAAUCAACCGAGAUUCCGAAAGUAGCGGCGAGCGAAAUUGGACUAGCCCUUAAGCUUUUUAUGCGUCAGGUGAAACUUCUGGAAAGUUGUGCGAUACAGGGUGAUAGCCCCGUAACCGGCAACGCAUUUAAAGUGAAAUCGAGUAGGGCGGGACACGUGAUAUCCUGUCUGAAUAUGGGGGACCAUCCUCCAAGGCUAAAUACUACUGACUGACCGAUAGUGAACCAGUACCGUGAGGGAAAGGCGAAAAGAACCCCUGUGAGGGGAGUGAAAUAGAACCUGAAACCGUGUACGUACAAGCAGUAGGAGCACCUUCGUGGUGUGACUGCGUACCUUUUGUAUAAUGGGUCAGCGACUUAUAUUCAGUGGCAAGGUUAACCAUCUAGGGGAGCCGUAGGGAAACCGAGUCUUAACUGGGCGUUCAGUCUCUGGAUAUAGACCCGAAACCAGGUGAUCUAGCCAUGGGCAGGUUGAAGGUUGAGUAACAUCAACUGGAGGACCGAACCGACUAAUGUUGAAAAAUUAGCGGAUGACUUGUGGCUAGGGGUGAAAGGCCAAUCAAACCUGGAGAUAGCUGGUUCUCCCCGAAAGCUAUUUAGGUAGCGCCUCGGACGAAUACUACUGGGGUAGAGCACUGUUAAGGCUAGGGGGUCAUCCCGACUUACCAACCCUUUGCAAACUCCGAAUACCAGUAAGUACUAUCCGGGAGACACACGGCGGGUGCUAACGUCCGUCGUGGAGAGGGAAACAACCCAGACCGCCAGCUAAGGUCCCAAAUUACUACUAAGUGGGAAACGAUGUGGGAAGGCUCAGACAGCCAGGAUGUUGGCUUAGAAGCAGCCAUCAUUUAAAGAAAGCGUAAUAGCUCACUGGUCGAGUCGGCCUGCGCGGAAGAUGUAACGGGGCUAAGUAGUAAACCGAAGCUGCGGCAAUGCACUUUAGUGCAUUGGGUAGGGGAGCGUUCUGUAAGCGGUUGAAGGUGUGUGGUAACGCAUGCUGGACGUAUCAGAAGUGCGAAUGCUGACAUGAGUAACGAUAAAGGGGGUGAAAAACCUCCUCGCCGGAAGACCAAGGGUUCCUGUCCAACGUUAAUCGGGGCAGGGUAAGUCGACCCCUAAGGCGAGGCCGAAAGGCGUAGUCGAUGGGAAACGGGUUAAUAUUCCCGUACUUCUUACAAUUGCGAUGGGGGACGGAGAAGGCUAGGUGGGCCUGGCGACGGUUGUCCAGGUUCAAGUGCGUAGGCUGAAAUUAGGUAAAUCCUCUCUUAAGGCUGAGACACGACGUCGAGCUACUACGGUAGUGAAGUCAUUGAUGCCAUGCUUCCAGGAAAAGCCUCUAAGCUUCAGAUUGUAAGGAAUCGUACCCCAAACCGACACAGGUGGUCGGGUAGAGAAUACCAAGGCGCUUGAGAGAACUCGGGUGAAGGAACUAGGCAAAAUGGUACCGUAACUUCGGGAGAAGGUACGCUCUCGACGGUGAAGUCCCUCGCGGAUGGAGCUAUUGAGAGUCGCAGAUACCAGGUGGCUGCAACUGUUUAUUAAAAACACAGCACUGUGCAAAAUCGUAAGAUGACGUAUACGGUGUGACGCCUGCCCGGUGCCGGAAGGUUAAUUGAUGGGGUUAGACUUCGGUCGAAGCUCUUGAUCGAAGCCCGGUAAACGGCGGCCGUAACUAUAACGGUCCUAAGGUAGCGAAAUUCCU